UACUAGAGGUAGCACUCGCAUAUCAAUAAGCGGAGGAAAAGAAACUAACAAGGAUUCCCCUAGUGACGGCGAGUGAAGCGGGAAGAGCUCAAAUUUGAAAUCUUAAAGGGUUUCCCUUUACGAAUUGUAGUUUAAAGAAGUGUUUUCUGUUGAGGUUUUGGUAAAAGUUCUUUGGAAUAGGACAUCAUAGAGGGUGAGAAUCCCGUAUUUGACCUUUACUUUCAACUUUGUGAUACAGCUUUCAAAGAGUCGGAUUGUUUGGGAAUGCAGUCCAAAAUGGGUGGUAAAUUUCAUCUAAAGCUAAAUAUUGGCGAGAGACCGAUAGCGAACAAGUACCGUGAGGGAAAGAUGAAAAGAACUUUGAAAAGAGAGUUAAACAGUACGUGAAAUUGUCAAAAGGGAAGCGUUUGACACCAGUGUUGUUUUUCUGAAAAUCAAUUAAAGAACUGUUUAUGCUAAGUUGUUUAGACUUUAUCAGCUAACUGUUUAGUUUUGAGCUUUUCUUUAAUGCACUUUUCAGUUAACAAGUCAACAUCAAUUUCUUUUGCUGUAAAAAAGCUUGAGGAAGGUGGCUUGAGAUUCGUCUUAAGUGUUUAUAGCCUCUUGCCUAUGCAGUCGGAGAGAUUGAGGUCUGCAGCGUAGAUCCUUCGGGGCUAAAUGCAUUUGUGCUAAGUUAUAGCAUUUUAUAGACAACUUGUUGACUAUGAUUUGUCUUGUAGCUUACUCGCUUAUGUUAUUUUACCUACGCUUAGGAUGUUGAGCGCAUGUCUCUCUCU
rnacentral:rRNA from 1 species